rnacentral:rRNA from 1 species
GAUGAACGCUGGCGGCGUGCCUAAUACAUGCAAGUCGAGCGAACAGACGAGGAGCUUGCUCCUCUGACGUUAGCGGCGGACGGGUGAGUAACACGUGGAUAACCUACCUAUAAGACUGGGAUAACUUCGGGAAACCGGAGCUAAUACCGGAUAAUAUAUUGAACCGCAUGGUUCAAUAGUGAAAGACGGUUUUGCUGUCACUUAUAGAUGGAUCCGCGCCGCAUUAGCUAGUUGGUAAGGUAACGGCUUACCAAGGCGACGAUGCGUAGCCGACCUGAGAGGGUGAUCGGCCACACUGGAACUGAGACACGGUCCAGACUCCUACGGGAGGCAGCAGUAGGGAAUCUUCCGCAAUGGGCGAAAGCUUGACGGAGCAACGCCGCGUGAGUGAUGAAGGUCUUCGGAACGUAAAACUCUGUUAUUAGGGAAGAACAAAUGUGUAAGUAACUAUGCACGUCUUGACGGUACCUAAUCAGAAAGCCACGGCUAACUACGUG